UUUCAUGUUGUGGCUGUGUGGGUUCCUGGCAUGCUGAUUUGUGACUUAAGAUAAAAUCACAUUGCCAGGGAUUACCACACAGCCACGGCCUUGGCGGCUGUUAUGGAAA
rnacentral:miRNA from 1 species